CCUACGGGUGGCAGCAGUGAGGAAUUUUGGUCAAUGGGCGCGAGCCUGAACCAGCCAAGUCGCGUGAGGGAUGAAGGUUCUAUGGAUCGUAAACCUCUUUUAUAAGGGAAUAAAGUGUGGGACGUGUCCUAUUUUGUAUGUACCUUAUGAAUAAGGAUCGGCUAACUCCGUGCCAGCAGCCGCGGUAAUACGGAGGAUCCGAGCGUUAUCCGGAUUUCUUGGGUUUAAAGGGUGCGUAGGCGGCCUUUUAAGUCAGCGGUGAAAGUCGGUGGCUCAACCAUAGAAUUGCCGUUGAAACUGGGUGGCUUGAGUAUGUUUGAGGCAGGCGGAAUGCGUGGGGUAGCGGUGAAAGGCUUAGAUAUCACGCAGAACCCCAAUUGCGAAGGCAGCCUGCCAAGCCAUGACUGACGCUGAUGCACGAAAGCGUGGGUAGCAAACAGGAUUAGAUACCCUUGUAGUC
rnacentral:rRNA from 1 species